ACAGCAACCCUAACAAAAGCAUUGACUGGUUUUGUCUGCAGUAAGUGCUUCUUGUUGGGGUAGCUGUU
rfam:Salmo salar isolate Sally breed double haploid chromosome ssa03, whole genome shotgun sequence.